CCUGGCACUAUGAGAGGACAGGAGGAAAAGGCACCAGCUCUUACCUGCAGGCUGUUGAAGAUGAUGAAAAAGACUAACAUCCAGAGGUGCCGAUCAUCAGUUGAGUGCACUCAGUGAAAUCGCAAAAUCAGGUCCAGUAGAAUCUAGAUACCUUCUACAACUGUCUUCAGAAGGUACAGGCUCAGUCAAACACCAAGCUGAGAUUCUGCCUGAUAACAUCAUUGACCAAAGUCAUGUAUACCCUUAAAAAACUAUCUGAAUGUCUGGCAAGUUUUCUGUGAACAUUUCUUUACAUUAAUGAAAGCUGCACAGAAAUGAAAACCCACAGAAAUGGAUCACUUCUGCUAACACCCUAAGGAAAUGCACUGACCUCCUUCAACAGUUCUGACUGUGGUCCAGUUCUGGGCUCAACAAUGCAACAAAGAAAUGGAGUAAAGCAAUACAGCAGAGGCCACAAAGAUCAUAUGUUGACUGAAGCAUCUCUCCUGUGAGGAGAGGCUGAGAGAGUUGGGAUUAUUCAGCCUGGAGAAAAGCAGGCUCAGGGGGAUCUUAUCCAUGUGUAUAAGUAACUGAUGGGAGUGUCAAAGAGGCAGCCAAACACUUCUCAGUAGUUCCCAAUGUCAGGACAAGAUGCAAUGGCACAAAUUAAUAGAGAUGAAAUUUCAUCUGAACACAUGAUAAAGAUUUUUUUUUUUUACUGUGGAGGUGUCCAAACACUGGGCCAAGCUGUCUAGAGAAGUUAUGGAGUCUCUGUCAUUAAAUAUAACCAAAACCUAACUGAACAUAGUCCUGGGCAACCGACCCUGCUUGAGCCAGGGUGUUGGACUAGAGAGUCUCUAGAUGCCCUUGCAACUUCAAUAGUUCUGUGAUUCUCUGUAGUGUUUGUAUAACAGUUUGAGGAAAAAAAAUGAAAAUAAGUGAAUGCAACUUUGUAUGCAUCUCCACAACAAUCUGCGUCUUCUUAUGAUCAGCUCAUCAUCAAAAGGCACAACUAAGACUUUGAAUCAAUAUACGAAUAAAAAAGAAGUGGAAUAGUGGAAAUCUCUUGAAAAAGCUGGUAGUAUGAGUAAGGAAAUCCUUCAAGUAAAAUAAAACACUUAGAGCUUUGCUUG